rnacentral:snRNA from 1 species
AUCGCUUCAAGGCUUUUAUAAAAAGCUAAGAUCAAAGUGUAGUAUCUGUUCUUAUCAGCUUAAUUUCUGGUAUGAAUCCCAAGUGGAUUCGAUAGAAAUUUGCAUAAGUUUUUGAAAAAAUAGAC